AUUGAACGCUGGCGGCAUGCUUUACACAUGCAAGUCGAACGGUAACAGGUUAAGCUGACGAGUGGCGAACGGGUGAGUAAUGCAUCGGAACGUGCCCGAUCGUGGGGGAUAACGCAGCGAAAGCUGCGCUAAUACCGCAUACGAUCUGAGGAUGAAAGCGGGGGACCGUAAGGCCUCGCGCGAUCGGAGCGGCCGAUGUCAGAUUAGGUAGUUGGUGGGGUAAAGGCCCACCAAGCCGACGAUCUGUAGCUGGUCUGAGAGGACGACCAGCCACACUGGGACUGAGACACGGCCCAGACUCCUACGGGAGGCAGCAGUGGGGAAUUUUGGACAAUGGGCGAAAGCCUGAUCCAGCAAUGCCGCGUGCAGGAAGAAGGCCUUCGGGUUGUAAACCGCUUUUGUACGGAGCGAAAAGGUCCUUUCUAAUACAGGGGGCUCAUGACGGUACCGUAAGAAUAAGCACCGGCUAACUACGUGCCAGCAGCCGCAGUAA
rnacentral:rRNA from 1 species